CCUACGGGCGGCAGCAGUAGGGAAUAUUGCUCAAUGGGGGAAACCCUGAAGCAGCAACGCCGCGUGGAGGAUGAAGGUUUUCGGAUUGUAAACUCCUUUCGUUAGAGAAGAUAAUGACGGUAUCUAACGAAUAAGCACCGGCUAACUCCGUGCCAGCAGCCGCGGUAAUACGGAGGGUGCAAGCGUUACACGGAAUCACUGGGUGUAAAGAGCGCGUAGGCGGGAUAGCAAGUCAGAUGUGAAAUCCUAUGGCUUAACCAUAGAACUGCAUUUGAAACUGUUUUUCUAGAGUGUGGGAGAGGUAGGUGGAAUUCUUGGUGUAGGGGUGAAAUGCGUAGAGAUCAGGAGGAAUACUCGUGGCGAAGGCGACCUGCUGGAACGUAACUGACGCUGAUGCGCGAAAGCGUGGGGAGCAAACAGGAUUAGAUACCCGGGUAGUC
rnacentral:rRNA from 1 species